UGAAACUCGUAUAUAAUGCCAUAGAAGGCAUCGUCGGACAAAAACCAUCGGAGAAAAGCUGGAAACAGACCCAAGUGAAGCUUCAGUGACCGUCUUUCAUGGCGGGAGCUGCUGGGCUUCAAGCUUUAGAGAGAAAACAACGAUACAAGGACUCCAUGGCUACUAGAGGUCGAGAGAAGUGAGGGAUGAGUAGGGGCGGAGAGGCGAUGAUCUUCAUCGGAGAAGAAGGGAACAAAAAGUCCUAGAGAGAAGGGAGAGCACUUGUUACAGAGAUAGAGA
rnacentral:lncRNA from 1 species